rnacentral:lncRNA from 1 species
AAGUGAUUCUCCCACCGUAGCCUCCCGAGUAGCUGGGAUUAUAGGCAUGAGCCACUGUGCCCAGCCUCUGAAAGGAAUAAAUGAUUUUGCUUUUCUUACUGAGAUAUAAAAUGUAAGCACCUUAAAAGUUUCUUCCCUUAUGUGAACACUGUGUUUGAGUAAUAUUGCUGAAUUUUUCUAACACUUAGUUUUAGUUUCACAAACCAAGUUAAUAACUCUGACAUGGAAAUUAAAGCUUAAGCCCAG